GGUUUUACCAGAUGGAUUGCGAGUCCCUCUGGUCACAAAUUAAACGCCAAGAGAAGCAGAUACAGCUCAAAAGGAGGUGGUUGUUGGGGCUUCCUACUUCCAAAUCUGAGCAGAAGAAGUUGGAGAGG